UUCCCGAUAUAUUUGGACACCCUUAGCGGCUGUCUCUUAACCGAAAUGAUCAAACUUAGGAAUUUGAUGAAUUGUUUUAUGCGUGGAUUAAAAUUGAUAACCUUUUUGGUUGAAUUUAGAUGUGAAAAUAACCAUGUGUUUGAGGAAAAAUUAUUAUGGUUUAUUUAGUUUUAUACGUUUCUACAGAUCCCGAAACGAAGCCGGGAGGAUGACGUUUUGUAUAUGCAUGGUGUAUGUACCAAGGAUGCAUUUUCUGACAUUUCCAACUAUAAACACGUUCCUCGAUCAUUUGUAUGGUCAUAUCUAAUUUUCACAGGGUUACUCAUAAAUUUAAGUAACUCGGUUAGAACGCGUGUAUACAUUAAUAAAUUUGUUGUCUAAGAUACCCCGACUCGAAUCUCGAAAAACUACAUUAUAUAUUUCGGAAAAACUCUAUUUGAUUCAAUUCC